rnacentral:lncRNA from 1 species
CAGUGGGAUAAGUAAAAGGAAGCAAUCUGAUAUGUGAAAUUGAGCACUGGGGAUGCACUGUAUGGUGACUAAUAUAACAAAAUAAAAAUUAAAAAAAAAAAAAAAAGAAGUUGAAUGUUUCAUUGAACUCUUCAGCCAGAGUUGGGAGCUUCCCUCUUCCAUCUUCCCAUAGCCCUGAGAACAGAACUGUGUAAUUUCAGCCAUUACGAAGGCUUUUAAUCCUUUGUUGACCGUUAGGUUAAUGAUAUUUAAUGGUGCCUGUGAUAUUUUUGUAUCUGUUCAGUAAAUAUUUGUUAAAUAAAUGAUGUGUGCCUAUUCAGGAUGAUGACUGAGCUUAUAAGAUUGAUAGAGAUUUCAAGAUGGAAGAUAAGCUCACCUCAACUUCCCAGAUUUGUCUUUUCCUUCACAGGAAGAUACCUCAAUGUGUCUCCUGGUGAUGGAAGAGAGGGGCCAGGCUGACAGGGAUGGAAGAUACUAAAUAAAAAGGGGGCCCAGUUCCUCUGCAUGAUAAGAGCAGUGCUAAAUAAAUAAAUAAACCAACAAGCGAAUGAAUGAAUG